rnacentral:rRNA from 1 species
UACAGAGGGGGCAAGCGUUAUUCGGAAUUACUGGGCGUAAAGGGCGCGUAGGCGGUUUGCUAAGUUGGACGUGAAAACUCUGGGCUUAACCCAGAGCCUGCAUCCAAAACUGGCAAGCUAGAGUUUUGGAGGGGGAAGCGGAAUUCCUGGUGUAGCAGUGAAAUGCGUAGAUAUCAGGAGGAACACCGGUGGCGAAGGCGGCUUCCUGGACAAAAACUGACGCUGAGGCGCGAAAGCUAGGGGAGCAAACAGG